rnacentral:rRNA from 1 species
GAUGAACGCUGGCGGCGUGCUUAACACAUGCAAGUCGAACGAUGAAGCCCAGCUUGCUGGGUGGAUUAGUGGCGAACGGGUGAGUAAAACGUGAGUAACCUGCCCUUAACUCUGGGAUAAGCCUGGGGAAAUGGGGCUAAUACCGGAUAGGAGCGUCCAUCGCGUGGGGGGUGUUGGAAAGAUUUUUCGGUUUUGGAUGGACUCGCGGCCUAUCAGCUUGUUGGUGGGGUAUUGGCUCACCAAGGCGACGACGGGUAGCCGGCCUGAGAGGGUGACCGGCCACACUGGGACUGAGACACGGCCCAGACUCCUACGGGAGGCAGCAGUGGGGAAUAUUGCACAAUGGGCGCAAGCCUGAUGCAGCGACGCCGCGUGAGGGAUGACGGCCUUCGGGUUGUAAACCUCUUUCAGUAGGGAAGAAGCGAAAGUGACGGUACCUGCAGAAGAAGCACCGGCUAACUACGUG